rnacentral:rRNA from 1 species
UACGUAGGGGGCAAGCGUUGUCCGGAUUUACUGGGCGUAAAGAGCGUGUAGGCGGCCAAGCAGGUCCGUUGUGAAAACUGGAGGCUUAACCUCCAGACGUCGACGGAAACCGCGUGGCUAGAGUCCGGAAGAGGAGAGUGGAAUUCCUGGUGUAGCGGUGGAAUGCGCAGAUAUCAGGAAGAACACCAAUGGCGAAGGCAGCUCUCUGGGACGGUACUGACGCUGAGACGCGAAAGCGUGGGGAGCGAACAGG